rnacentral:rRNA from 1 species
GACGAACGCUGGCGGCGUGCUUAAUACAUGCAAGUAGGACGCAGUUGCGAACGGGUGAGUAACGCGUAGGUAACUACCUAUUAGAGGGGGAUAACUAUUGGAUACGAUAGAUAAUACCGCAUACUACUAGAUGGAUCUGCGUUGUAUUAGCUAGUAGGUAGGGUAAUGGCCUACCUAGGCAACGAUACUUAGCCGACCAUGAGGUGAGGUCGGCCACGCUGGGACUGGGAGUCGGCCCAGACUCCGACGGGAGGCAGCCGUAGGGAAUCUGCGGCAAUGGGGGGGACCCUGAGCGAGCAACGCCGCGUGAUUGAAGAAGGUUUUCGGAUCGUAAAGCGCUGUUGUUAAGGAAGCGGUACUUAACCAGAAAGGGACGGCUAACUACGUGCCAGCAGCCGCGGUAAUAC